rfam:Fomitopsis pinicola FP-58527 SS1 unplaced genomic scaffold FOMPIscaffold_56, whole genome shotgun sequence.
GCCUUCUUAGCUCAGUGGUAGAGCGCGUCACUAGUAUGUUAAAGAACAAAGCGAGUGCCAUGACGAGGUCACCUGUUCGAAACAGGUAGGAGGCA